AAUAGAUACCCAGGUAGUCCACGCCGUAAACGAUGUCGACUUGGAGGUUGUUCCCUUGAGGAGUGGCUUCCGGAGCUAACGCGUUAAGUCGACCGCCUGGGGAGUACGGCCGCAAGGUUAAAACUCAAAUGAAUUGACGGGGGCCCGCACAAGCGGUGGAGCAUGUGGUUUAAUUCGAUGCAACGCGAAGAACCUUACCUACUCUUGACAUCCACGGAACUUUUCAGAGAUGAAUUGGUGCCUUCGGGAACCGUGAGACAGGUGCUGCAUGGCUGUCGUCAGCUCGUGUUGUGAAAUGUUGGGUUAAGUCCCGCAACGAGCGCAACCCUUAUCCUUUGUUGCCAGCGGUUAGGCCGGGAACUCAAAGGAGACUGCCAGUGAUAAACUGGAGGAAGGUGGGGAUGACGUCAAGUCAUCAUGGCCCUUACGAGUAGGGCUACACACGUGCUACAAUGGCGCAUACAAAGAGAAGCGACCUCGCGAGAGCAAGCGGACCUCAUAAAGUGCGUCGUAGUCCGGAUUGGAGUCUGCAACUCGA
rnacentral:rRNA from 1 species